rnacentral:rRNA from 1 species
AUUGAACGCUGGCGGCAGGCCUAACACAUGCAAGUCGAGCGGGGACUUCGGUCCUAGCGGCGAACGGGUGAGUAAUGCUUGGGAAUCUGCCCAGUAGUGGGGGAUAACGUCCCGAAAGGGACGCUAAUACCGCAUACGUCCUACGGGAGAAAGAGGGGGAUCUUCGGACCUCUCGCUAUUGGAUGAGCCCAAGUCGGAUUAGCUAGUUGGUAGGGUAAUGGCCUACCAAGGCGACGAUCCGUAGCUGGUCUGAGAGGAUGAUCAGCCACACUGGAACUGAGACACGGUCCAGACUCCUACGGGAGGCAGCAGUGGGGAAUAUUGGACAAUGGGCGAAAGCCUGAUCCAGCCAUGCCGCGUGUGUGAAGAAGGCCUUCGGGUUGUAAAGCACUUUAAGCGGGGAGGAAGGUUCGCGGCCUAAUACGUCGCGGAAUCGACGUUACCCGCAGAAUAAGCACCGGCUAACUCUGUG